rnacentral:rRNA from 1 species
CCUACGGGAGGCUGCAGUGGGGAAUAUUGGACAAUGGGGGGAACCCUGAUCCAGCCAUGCCGCGUGUGUGAAGAAGGCCCUCGGGUUGUAAAGCACUUUCAGUGAGGAAGAACGCCUGGUGGUUAAUACCCAUCAGGAAAGACAUCACUCACAGAAGAAGCACCGGCUAACUCCGUGCCAGCAGCCGCGGUAAUACGGAGGGUGCGAGCGUUAAUCGGAAUUACUGGGCGUAAAGCGCGCGUAGGUGGCUUGAUAAGCCGGUUGUGAAAGCCCCGGGCUCAACCUGGGAACGGCAUCCGGAACUGUCAAGCUAGAGUGCAGGAGAGGAAGGUAGAAUUCCAGGUGUAGCGGUGAAAUGCGUAGAGAUCGGGAGGAAUACCAGUGGCGAAGGCGGCCUUCUGGACUGACACUGACACUGAGGUGCGAAAGCGUGGGUAGCAAACAGGAUUAGAUACCCCGGUAGUC